rnacentral:rRNA from 2 species
GUGCUAAUCUGCGAUAAGCGCCGGUAAGGUGAUAUGAACCGUUAUAACCGGCGAUACCCGAAUGGGGAAACCCAGUGUGACUCGUCACACUAUCAUUAACUGAAUCCAUAGGUUAAUGAGGCGAACCGGGGGAACUGAAACAUCUAAGUACCCCGAGGAAAAGAAAUCAACCGAGAUUCCCCCAGUAGCGGCGAGCGAACGGGGAGGAGCCCAGAGCCUGAAUCAGCAUGUGUGUUAGUGGAAGCGUCUGGAAAGGCGCGCGAUACAGGGUGACAGCCCCGUACACAAAAGCGCAUGUGCUGUGAGCUCGAUGAGUAGGGCGGGACACGUGGUAUCCUGUCUGAAUAUGGGGGGACCAUCCUCCAAGGCUAAAUACUCCUGACUGACCGAUAGUGAACCAGUACCGUGAGGGAAAGGCGAAAAGAACCCCGGCGAGGGGAGUGAAAAAGAACCUGAAACCGUGUACGUACAAGCAGUGGGAGCACCCUUUGGGUGUGACUGCGUACCUUUUGUAUAAUGGGUCAGCGACUUAUAUUCUGUAGCAAGGUUAACCGAAUAGGGGAGCCGGAGGGAAACCGAGUCUUAAUUGGGCGUUAAGUUGCAGGGUAUAGACCCGAAACCCGGUGAUCUAGCCAUGGGCAGGUUGAAGGUUGGGUAACACUAACUGGAGGACCGAACCGACUAAUGUUGAAAAAUUAGCGGAUGACCUGUGGCUGGGGGUGAAAGGCCAAUCAAACCGGGAGAUAGCUGGUUCUCCCCGAAAGCUAUUUAGGUAGCGCCUCGUGAAUUCAUCUCCGGGGGUAGAGCACUGUUUCGGCUAGGGGGCCAUCCCGGCUUACCAACCCGAUGCAAACUGCGAAUACCGGAGAAUGUUAUCACGGGAGACACACGGCGGGUGCUAACGUCCGUCGUGAAGAGGGAAACAACCCAGACCGCCAGCUAAGGUCCCAAAGUCAUGGUUAAGUGGGAAACGAUGUGGGAAGGCCCAGACAGCCAGGAUGUUGGCUUAGAAGCAGCCAUCAUUUAAAGAAAGCGUAAUAGCUCACUGGUCGAGUCGGCCUGCGCGGAAGAUGUAACGGGGCUAAACCAUGCACCGAAGCUGCGGCAGCGACACUGUGUGUUGUUGGGUAGGGGAGCGUUCUGUAAGCCUGUGAAGGUGUGUCGUGAGGCAUGCUGGAGGUAUCAGAAGUGCGAAUGCUGACAUAAGUAACGAUAAAGCGGGUGAAAAGCCCGCUCGCCGGAAGACCAAGGGUUCCUGUCCAACGUUAAUCGGGGCAGGGUGAGUCGACCCCUAAGGCGAGGCCGAAAGGCGUAGUCGAUGGGAAACGGGUUAAUAUUCCCGUACUUGGUGUUACUGCGAAGGGGGGACGGAGAAGGCUAUGUUGGCCGGGCGACGGUUGUCCCGGUUUAAGCGUGUAGGUGUGUGUUCCAGGUAAAUCCGGUUCACUUUAACACUGAGGCGUGACGACGAGGCACUACGGUGCUGAAGCAACAAAUGCCCUGCUUCCAGGAAAAGCCUCUAAGCAUCAGGUAACAUCAAAUCGUACCCCAAACCGACACAGGUGGUCAGGUAGAGAAUACCAAGGCGCUUGAGAGAACUCGGGUGAAGGAACUAGGCAAAAUGGUGCCGUAACUUCGGGAGAAGGCACGCUGACACGUAGGUGAAGUGAUUUACUCAUGGAGCUGAAGUCAGUCGAAGAUACCAGCUGGCUGCAACUGUUUAUUAAAAACACAGCACUGUGCAAACACGAAAGUGGACGUAUACGGUGUGACGCCUGCCCGGUGCCGGAAGGUUAAUUGAUGGGGUCAGCGCAAGCGAAGCUCCUGAUCGAAGCCCCGGUAAACGGCGGCCGUAACUAUAACGGUCCUAAGGUAGCGAAAUUCCUUGUCGGGUAAGUUCCGACCUGCACGAAUGGCGUAAUGAUGGCCAGGCUGUCUCCACCCGAGACUCAGUGAAAUUGAACUCGCUGUGAAGAUGCAGUGUACCCGCGGCAAGACGGAAAGACCCCGUGAACCUUUACUAUAGCUUGACACUGAACAUUGAGCCUUGAUGUGUAGGAUAGGUGGGAGGCUUUGAAGUGUGGACGCCAGUCUGCAUGGAGCCGACCUUGAAAUACCACCCUUUAAUGUUUGAUGUUCUAACGUGGACCCGUUACCCGGGUUGCGGACAGUGUCUGGUGGGUAGUUUGACUGGGGCGGUCUCCUCCUAAAGAGUAACGGAGGAGCACGAAGGUUGGCUAAUCCUGGUCGGACAUCAGGAGGUUAGUGCAAUGGCAUAAGCCAGCUUGACUGCGAGCGUGACGGCGCGAGCAGGUGCGAAAGCAGGUCAUAGUGAUCCGGUGGUUCUGAAUGGAAGGGCCAUCGCUCAACGGAUAAAAGGUACUCCGGGGAUAACAGGCUGAUACCGCCCAAGAGUUCAUAUCGACGGCGGUGUUUGGCACCUCGAUGUCGGCUCAUCACAUCCUGGGGCUGAAGUAGGUCCCAAGGGUAUGGCUGUUCGCCAUUUAAAGUGGUACGCGAGCUGGGUUUAGAACGUCGUGAGACAGUUCGGUCCCUAUCUGCCGUGGGCGCUGGAGAACUGAGGGGGGCUGCUCCUAGUACGAGAGGACCGGAGUGGACGCAUCACUGGUGUUCGGGUUGUCAUGCCAAUGGCACUGCCCGGUAGCUAAAUGCGGAAGAGAUAAGUGCUGAAAGCAUCUAAGCACGAAACUUGCCCCGA